GAUGAACGCUGGCGGCGUGCCUAAUACAUGCCAGUCGAGCGAACAGACGAGGAGCUUGCUCCUCUGACGUUAGCGGCGGACGGGUGAGUAACACGUGGAUAACCUACCUAUAAGACUGGGAUAACUUCGGGAAACCGGAGCUAAUACCGGAUAAUAUAUUGAACCGCAUGGUUCAAUAGUGAAAGACGGUUUUGCUGUCACUUAUAGAUGGAUCCGCGCCGCAUUAGCUAGUUGGUAAGGUAACGGCUUACCAAGGCAACGAUGCGUAGCCGACCUGAGAGGGUGAUCGGCCACACUGGAACUGAGACACGGUCCAGACUCCUACGGGAGGCAGCAGUAGGGAAUCUUCCGCAAUGGGCGAAAGCCUGACGCAGCAACGCCGCGUGAGUGAUGAAGGUCUUCGGAUCGUAAAACUCUGUUAUUAGGGAAGAACAAAUGUGUAAGUAACUAUGCACGUCUUGACGGUACCUAAUCAAAAAGCCACGGCUAACUACGUG
rnacentral:rRNA from 1 species